rnacentral:rRNA from 1 species
AAAGUCGUAACAAGGUUUCCGUAGGUGAACCUGCGGAAGGAUCAUUACAGUGAGAGAAGAGGAGUCUAGAGUUAAAGCCCUAGAACUCCUCCCGGGGAGGUUUUACCACCUCUCCGACUCUUCACCCUGUGUGGAUCGUGUUCCGGGUUGCUUCGGCGAGCCACAACUGAUAUAUAUAUUGCGUGAAAGGGGAAGAAAGAGCGCCCGCUCGUUGAUGCCCACCAAAAAGCUUUUUUUAAAAAAAAAAAGAAAAAACCUUUAGGUUAUGGCAGACUGAGCGGGUCUUUCCGAAGGGCUUGUCCCUCUCUUUUGCUAGUAACACCAGUUAGUAUUUAGUCGCUCUAGGUUAGGUGGCUUAUUGAUUCGAAUAAGUCAGCUGCUCUAGACGGCGUGUUGCUUCGCCGAAGGUUUAAUUUAAACCAACUUGUUAACUGUGAAUUGCAAUGGCGCGUGUUCGCGCAAUGCCCCACAAUGUUUAAAACUUUCAACAACGGAUCUCUUGGUUCUGGCAUCGAUGAAGAACGCAGCGAAAUGCGAUAAGUAAUGUGAAUUGCAGAAUUCAGUGAAUCAUCGAAUUUUUGAACGCAUAUUGCGCCCUCCGGCACUCCGGGGGGCAUACCUGUUCGAGCGUUAUGAAAAGCUUCUUUUUAACCUGUAAUCAACGGGUUAGAAGUUGUGGGCCAGCGUCUUUGGACGGGUCUGAAACCUAACGGCGGUACCGGCGAGCCCGUAUGCAGUGUGAUAAACAUCUUAACACGUCGCGCGGGAUCCCGUAGAUGACUUGCCUACAGCGCCCCUGCGUUUAAUUGAUAAAUUGACCUCGGAUCAGGUAGGGGUACCCGCUGAACUUA